UGGGGAAUUUUGGACAAUGGGCGAAAGCCUGAUCCAGCAAUGCCGCGUGUGUGAAGAAGGCCUUCGGGUUGUAAAGCACUUUUGUCCGGAAAGAAAUCCUUGGCUCUAAUACAGUCGGGGGAUGACGGUACCGGAAGAAUAAGCACCGGCUAACUACGUGCCAGCAGCCGCGGUAAUACGUAGGGUGCAAGCGUUAAUCGGAAUUACUGGGCGUAAAGCGUGCGCAGGCGGUUUGCUAAGACCGAUGUGAAAUCCCCGGGCUCAACCUGGGAACUGCAUUGGUGACUGGCAGGCUAGAGUAUGGCAGAGGGGGGUAGAAUUCCACGUGUAGCAGUGAAAUGCGUAGAGAUGUGGAGGAAUACCGAUGGCGAAGGCAGCCCCCUGGGCCAAUACUGACGCUCAUGCACGAAAGCGUGGGGAGCAAACAGGAUUAGAUACCCUGGUAGUCCACGCCCUAAACGAUGUCAACUAGUUGUUGGGAUUCAUUCCUUAGUAACGUAGCUAACGCGUGAAGUUGACCGCCUGGGGAGUACGGUCGCAAGAUUAAAACUCAAAUGAAUUGACGGGGUCAUAGCUGUUUCC
rnacentral:rRNA from 1 species